GAAGAUCAGAGGACAACCCCACAGUCAGUUCCUGGGAUCACAAUCAGGUCACCAGAGGCUAAGCCACAAGAGCCCUUCACCACUGAGGUGUCCCACUUAAGUUUUUAAAAGCAGUCUUUGCAGGGUAGGGACUGGUAAAGCAAGCAUGUGGAUCUGAGCUCAAACCACAUAAUCCAUAUAAAACGUAGGACAUGGGGUCAUGUGCCUGUGAAACCAACUUUAGGGGUCCAAUGAUCCCUGAAGCUCAUUGGCCAGCUUGUUAUGGGUUGCUUCUAAUGCUAUUUGUGUUCAUUUGGCUCCCCCAAAUCACACAGGAAUCUGCACAUCUAAGCACUGAGGGUCUCUGCCCCUAGUUGUCUCUAACUGGUAAAUAAAGUGGCCAAUGGCUAGGCAGGGAGACAGAGGCGGGACUUUAGAUUGCCCAGGCAUGGGACCAUGGGAAGAAGGUUUUAGAAGUGCCAUGCCAGGAAAGGAAUAGGAUGCAAGCAUCAGAGUUAUGAAAGAGAGAGAACCAGCCAUGUAGGAAUCAAGGAAAGUGGGCCCUGGGGCCACUCCCCCACUGGGUCUAGGGUAGUGUUAGCCAUGGGGAAAUUUGGGAGUGGCCCAGCCAUUGAGCUGCUUGGGGCAUAUUAAAAAUAAGGUUUCGUGUGUGUGUGUGUGUGUGUGUGUGUGUGUGUGUGUGUGUUUGUGUGUGUGUGUGUGUGUUUCAUUCAUGAAUCCAAAACAAUUGGGUGGGUGUAGAGGAGGUACACACCCGCAGGGGAGUUUAGAAUGGAUUAACAACAAUUCACUGCUUUACCAGCCAAUCUAGCCAAAUCAAUGAACUUCAGGUUCAGAGAGAGGAGAGAUUCUGGCUCAAAAUCUAAAGGCAGAGCACAGGCAAAGCUCAGUCCUGCUUCAAAUAACCAAUUGUUCACUCUCUUGUCUAGAAAAUCUGCUCUUUAAUUAAUUACUAUAUGUGAUGGUUUGAAUCUGAGAUGUUCCCCACCUUGUGCUUUUAUAUGCCCUCAUGCACACAUGUACAUACCAUAUACACCACACACAUACAGAACACACACACACACACACUUAAAAAGUUUUAAAAAGUUUUUAAAAAAAUGGUCAUGCAGUCUUAUCUACUUCAAAAUAUGCAACAUCAGAAUAAGACACAGACAGACUUCUGUGGUUGCAAAUAAGCUUAGCUUUACAAAAAGCUCAUUAUGUAUCAGUCUGUAUUUUUCCCAAAGAGAACUGGAAGACUCCCGGUGUGGAGAGGGGAUCUGCUACCUUGCUAACUGGAUUAUCAUCCCUGGAUAGUUCUACAGUGUCAUUUCAACUCUUGUGCCCAGAGACAGCCAGAGAAAGAGAAGCUUUCUGCCUCACCUGAUGAAUGUGCUGAGUCAAAUAUGGAGCAGCAACAACCUGCCAGGAAAGGCUGGACACCAGGAUAGCCUGGGCUAGCUCCAGCUGCUCUGCUAAGAUCUUAGUCUCAGAUCUGCCUAACUCAUCUUCCUGGGUCUGGGACACCUCCCUGGGUGACACCUGCAUUGCUGGCUGAUGCCAUCUUCAGACAAACCCACUAGUCACACUCUCUCUUAGAAAACCUGCUCAAACUAAACAUAAGCUUACCAUAUGCUGUGGUUUGGAUGGGAGACGCCCCCCACAGGCUCAUGUUUACAGUGCUUGCUCUCCAGCUGGGGGAUUUGGGGUGGGGGGAUGUGGAGCUUUAGAGGGAGGGCAUAGCAGAUCACUGGGGAGGGAGACUUUGGAGUUUAUGCCCAACCCGUUCCAGUACACUCUCUGCUUUCUGGUUGGCUAAAACGCUAAGAGCUCUACCACAUACACUGCCAUAACUGUCUUUUCUGCCUUGCUGGACUGAGGUCUUGAUAAACUAUGGGCCAAAAUAAGUCUUUCUUCCCUUAAUUUGUUUCUGUUAGGAAUUUUGGUUGCAAAUACACAAAGGUAACUAAUAUACUAUACAGCUCAGGAAUUCUACUUCCAUUCACCUACCUGAGAGAAAUAAUCAUACUUUCAUACAGAAACUUGCAUGAAACACUCUAAUGAAUACGAAAGGGUCAACGAGAUGGCUCAGUGUGGAAAGACACUUGCUACCAAGCCUAACGACCUGAGUUUGAUAUCUGGAACCCACGUGGUGGAAGAAGAAAACUGAGUACAAUAAGUUGUCCUCUGAUGGCUACAUAUGUGCCAUGUAUGGCAUGUGCUUGAGUGUGUGUGCACACAUACCAUCAAUAAAUCUAUAUAUGUGAAAAAUUAAUAGAAAUUAUCUAAAUCAUGAUAAAGAAAAAUAGAAGACAAAAUAUGGUAUGAAUCACAAAGAAACACUAAUCAGUGAUAAAGAGGAAUGGAUUAGUAACAUAAGAUACAACAUUUAAACCUGAAAAAGAUGUUGAGCUAUGUGAAAGAAGCCAGACACUAAAUACCAUAUAAUAUGAUUCCAUUUAUGUGAAAUCUCCAAACAUGGCCAACAUGCAAUAUACAGACCAUGGAUAGCUUUUGGGGGUCGGGGGAGAACAAGACAAAUGGGUAGAAAAGAAAUUUUUAAUAAUAAAAGUUUUCUUUAAUCUGUUCAAAACCAUGCUUUAUAAGAUGUUGGCAGAAUAUAGUAGAUUUCUGUUUAGUAGCUAAGCCCAUGAAGAAGUGGAUGAGUGAGUUUCCCAGAAGCCUCUCUGGAUGGCCUCAACGAGGUCCAUGAGUAACAGUCAGCCUCAGAAGGUUAUGCAUAGUCAUUACAUAUGCAUUGGGUGUAAUACUCUGAUUAGGUUAGAACUGCAUGAAAUGAUGUUGUUAUAGGUAGAAAUAAUUAAAUAAUGACCAUUUCAAAUGACUCAACCUAGAGCAGAUACUUUCAAGUCUGGCAGGCCUUAAGUAGUACGAUGCUCUAGCACAAAGUCAAGUUCCAGGUCCACCAUAUGGGAAAUGGGGGUGAUUACAGGAUCUUGCUAAAGGCUGUUGUGGUCGUACAAUGAUACUGUAUGGAGAGCACCUACUAUGGCUAACACAAAGUCACAGAGGACGUAUUCUGUAAAUUAUAACAAUAAUUAACACACACAGGUCCUAUCUAUCAAUGGAAUUCCAAGCCAUCAAGGCCCCAUGUCUUUACAUCUUUUGUGCCUAUGUGUCUGCUCAGCAUAAAGUCCUGUAGUGUCCAUAGGCGAGGCUCCGCAUUGACUGCUAAGACCAGGAACUGCUUCCUCGGAGGCUGGCAGAGAAUCCUACCCACAGACCACUUCUCCUCUGAGAAGUAUCGAUAGUGUUGCAGGAGGCUUCGUAUAAUUCCAUUUCCAACAUCCUCCUCUCCACGGGUGGGCACAUAACAGCAAUCCAAUGAAGAGGGAAGUGUCAUCAGAGGAAGUUCUUUCUGGCUUAUUUCUCAACACAAAUGUUUGGCUGCUAUGUAACCAGUGUUUUGAUGGAUGGAUGGGUUAUCUAUGAAACUCCAGGUUUCUUCUUAUAACAACAAACAACAGGAGCUAUGAGCAGAUGUAAAGAAAAUGAUAUCCCUACAUUCUGUGCGAAAUUCCUCAUUCCUUUGUAGAGAUCAGAAACGUAGCCAAAAGACUGUAGACUGAAAACAUUAAAGAUGCCAUGUUCCACAAAUAAAAACACAGAACAGUCACAUAAUUGUGAAGUAAACAAUGAAUAUCUGAAGAUAGACUAAAAACUGCCCAUUGUGUAUCCUAAAGUUCAAAUUAAGUGGGCGUCCUACAUUUUAUCUAGCAACCCUAGACUUAAUCUGUUCCACAGAUCACUUUUUAUUUCCUAAAUAUUAUACAUAUAUUUUCAUUUCAAAUAGCUAUUCUUAAGUCACAAAGGAAAACCUAUGAUAGCCAGAGAAACAGGACGUCCAGAGUCUGUGAGCACUUGUAUGGGCCACUGUAGACUGAGGAUCCUGUUGGGUGGGCUCUACAACAUACAGCCUCUGCUCCCUUGGCUUUACCCAGGGUAGUAAACCUAAAUAUUACUAUUCUCUGUCUUACAUGCAAAGAAAUGGAGACCUAGAGAAGAUAAGCCCAAGGUCUCUCAAUCUGAAUAAAAAAAUUAGGCUGCAGGCCUCACAUCAGAGUCCCCAGAUGUAAGUCUACUGUCCACUCUAAUGGCUAAUUCCAACGUUGUGUUCACAUUAUCUCAAGAAAGCCAUUAAGUUUUUCUCUCCAGUGACUCUACAUCAAUGAAACAGAAACCUUAAUCUCCAAUGCCGUGCUGGCUGGCCAGCUGUUCUCUUCCAUUACUGCCUCAUCUCAUCAAAUUCAUAACUCAUUGACAUCUCCACUAAAAUCAAAAACCAAAGAUAGCCAAAUUUUGAACAAGCCAUUAUUCUGCCAACUACAUGCAGCUCUAUAAAAGGGUGGCUAGGACCUAAGACUAGAAUCAAGUUUAAAUCGGAACAAUGCCGACUUCCACACAUACAUCCAUUUAUAGCCUGCAUCACCAACGGUAACCAGGCUGUGCUAAAAUUGACAAAAUUGUAGUCAUUCCUGCAAAAACAAAACUCCCUGGACAUAUGUUGUAAACAAAUAGUCCAUUCAUAUAGAAAAUACUACACAACAGCUUUUCUCCUUUCAUCUCAGCCUCUGGAGCAGCCUGGCUUUGGCAGGGGGAACAGGACUCUCUUUGAUGUCCUUUACUGGUUCAGGUUUAUCCCUCACUCCACAAGAGUACUAAAUCUGGCCCAUACGCUCACCAGUCUCUGCAAAACACAGGGACGGUGUGUCCUGCCACACACACAAUGGGUGGUACUGAAGACAAACACGAACAGCCUCUACUUAAAUCAAUAUGCUAGAGACAUAGAGUUCCCCAGGGGUGUGGGCUUCUGCAGCCAUGGGGGCCCAGGGCCAGCAUUUUCAUCCUCAGACUGCCUGAAGAAAACAGCUGGGUAAGGCCACAUUUAUCAAACACAAGAGGAGCCAAAGGCAGGGGGCGAGGUAUUCUUUAUCAUAUUUGCCUUUGGAAAGCAAUCCAUCUCCUUGGUAACAGGUCUUAAAAAAGAAAAAGAGAAAAGGGAGUGACUAAAUCUUAUACCUUAGCAGGCAGCCUAGAAAAUGCUCUCACCAUUUGGGGGCAUCAAGUCCCGAGAACCUUGAAUGCUGGCAUACUAGAGUAUUGCUGAACAUGAACCAAGAGCCUCUGAGAGAUCUGGAAUGAAAGAGAAGACGAGACCUAAACACACAAAAUCAUCUUGGCUGAGAGGGUGAUCAGCCAGCGAGAAGAAGGGGGCCCUGGGUGACUGAGUACCACGCAGAAAAUGUCAGAGCAAGUCACUAUCAGCAAUGACUGAAGCAAUAAGAACUCUCACUUUUUAAUGUGUGUCCCGAAAUAUUUUGUUGCUUAUGCUCUGUGCCCAUACCAAGGAUGGAGAAGCCAUAUAGAGUUUAAGAGGUUUGUUUUUAUGAAGUCAUUUUAUGGAAAUGUUGGCAUAUUUGAGAGAAAAACACAAGAGGAGCUAUGGUUUAGGCUAACCUAGAUGACAGUGUUGCUUCAAGUUAAGUACAAUGUCUUUGGAAUUUGCCAACUUGUAUUUGAAUGCCUUGAAGCCACCUUGAGCAGGUUACUGACUCCUGGGCUGUUUGGCGUCAUCAUUCACAAAGUAGAAGAAAUAUUAAAAUGAUGUAGCUA